rnacentral:rRNA from 1 species
ACUCAAAGGAAUUGACGGGGGCCCGCACAAGCAGCGGAGCGUGUGGUUUAAUUCGAGGUUACACGAAGAACCUUACCUGGGUUUGACAUGCCGACCAACGACGCUGAAAGGCGGAGGGCCGCAAGGGGUCGGCACAGGUGCUGCAUGGCUGUCGUCAGCUCGUGCCGUGAGGUGUUAGGUUAAGUCCUGUAACGAGCGCAACCCCCGGGUCCAGUUACACGCAGUCUGGACCGACUGCCCGCGACAAGCGGGAGGAAGGUGGGGAUGAUGUCAAGUCAGCAUGGCCUUUAUAUCCAGGGCUACACACACGCUACAAUGGCCGGUACAAUGGGUCGCCAAGCCGCAAGGCGGAGCCAAUCCAGACAAAGCCGGUCCCAGUUCAGAUUGUGGGCUGCAACCCGCCCACAUGAAGUCGGAGUUGCUAGUAACCGCCGGUCAGCCAUACGGCGGUGAAUACGUUCCCGGGCCUUGUACACACCGCCCGU